rnacentral:ncRNA from 1 species
GGAAUUGCGCAGAUGAGGACAAGUAGCUUCCCGUCCGCCCGCAAAGAGAGCUGCCGGUCGGUGCGAGGCAGCGGGGCGCGGAGAGCGAAUAUCACCUCGGAGCAGGCGUCUGAAACCGCAGUAGGGCAGCCCGGGUGCGACCGUUACAUCGCGGCAUUUGAGCGGCUGCCGGAACGGCGGCAAGAAGAGUGGUACCGCAGAGUAUGGUUAUGCUUUGUCUCUUUU